GGCACUCUGUGGCAUAGUGGUUUGAACAUUGGGCUAAAAAUCUGAUGACCAGGGUUCAAUUCCCAGGUCGGCCA